UUUUUUCCCCACGAUUUUUUUAAGACUUGGAUCAUACUCCAGAAGAGGGGUUCUUGCUUCCGUUGUAUAAAAAGAAGUCUGGGUGGAAAAAUUAAAAAAUUACAGUCAAAAGUUAAGCUAUAUAUAAACGAGACACGCCCUUGGGACCGAACGGCGUCCUCCCCUAAUUUUUUUCAUCGCUUCUUCGCAAGAAGACUAGGAAAAGGAUAACCCUAACAACUAGGUCGUGUCUGGGAUGUACGGUCAAGACGGCGAAUCUGCUCCUCCAUCUUACGGAGGAUAUGGCGGUGGCAGCGCUAGUGGCGGCGGCGGCGGCGGAGGAGGAGGAGGAUAUGGAGGAGGGGCAAGUGGUGGAGGCUAUGGGGGUGAUGGUGGUUACGGCAGCCGUGGUGGUAGAGGUGGCGGCGGCGGCGGCAGAGGAUAUGGUGGUAAUUCGCAAAAUCGUGGGUAUCAAGGAGGAGAUCGUGGAGGAAGAGGCGGUGGAGGUGGGGGCCGAGGAGGUGGCCGAGGUGGAGGCGGAAGGGACGGUGAUUGGCUGUGCCCUAAUCCAAGCUGUGGCAAUUUGAACUUUGCAAGAAGAGUUGAAUGUAACAAAUGCGGAACUCCCUCCCCUGCCGGUGCCAGCAAUGAUCGUGGAAAUGGUGCGGGAGGAGGUUAUAACAGAGGAAGUGGAGGAUAUGGGGGUAACCGUGGGGGUAGAGGUGGUAACUAUGAUGGUAAUAGAAGUAGCAAUUACAAUGAUGGAGGCAGAGGCGGUAGUUAUGAUAAUAGGAGUGGUGGUGGCAGUAGGGGGGGCUCCUAUGGUGGUAAUCAUGGAAGAGACGAUGGUUCUUAUAAUCAGAUGCCUCCCCCUGAAAUCCCAUCUUAUGGUAGUGCUAGUGGUAAUUAUCCACCACCACCUAACUCUUAUGGGGGCAAUGCAAAUUAUGGAAUGGAAGCAGUUCCUCCCCCUCAAAGUUACACUGGUGGACCUACAUCUUUCCCACCAUCUUAUGGGGGUCCUGUGAGUGGUUAUGGUGGUGAUGCUCCCGCUGAUGUGAGGACUGGUGGGCGAGGUGGCCCUUCUGGUGGGUAUGGUAGUGGUGGUUCUCGGUAUGAAGGAGGACGUGGUUUCGGCAGUGCUGGCACUGAUGCCUCAGCUAAAAUUAAGCAGUGUGAUGGAAAUUGUGAUGAUACUUGUGACAACUCUAGAAUAUACAUAUCAAAUUUGCCCCCAGAUGUGACUACUGAUGAAUUGAGAGAACUCUUUGGCGGCAUUGGACAAGUUGGAAGGAUUAAGCAGAAGCGGGGCUAUAAAGAUCAAUGGCCCUGGAAUAUAAAAUUGUACACAGAUGAGAAGGGAAACAACAAAGGUGAUGCAGUAUUGUCUUAUGAAGAUCCAUCUGCUGCACAUUCUGCCGGCGGUUUUUAUAAUAAUUAUGAUAUGAGGGGUUAUAAAAUAAGUGUUGCAAUGGCAGAAAAGACAGCUCUAAGGUCUCAACCUUCAUAUGAUCAUGGAGGUGGUGGUAGAGGUGGAUAUGGUGGAGGUGAUAGGCGCCGGGAUAGUUACAGAGAUGGAGGCUCUGGGCCAGAUAGGCACCACCAUGGUGGAAACCGUUCACGUCCAUACUGAGAAUAUCAGCACUGAGCUUUUUAUGUACUAAGAAUUGUGAUCUGAGGGAUUUAAUUAUAUUCCAUUUCCUUGGGGGGGUUAAACUGGAGACUAAGAGGUAGGUGUUCACUUACACUGAGCAAUACCCCUUUUUCUCCUCUUUCUGUUUGCUCGCACAUGGAGGGGUUUCUGUUUUAGGCAUGGGAUUGAUUUUAAUUAUGUGAAUGUUUUUAUAGAGGCAAGUGGAUUAACUCCAAAUAUCUUGCUGCUAAGGUAGGUUGAUAUUUUCAGGGUGUUGGAAGACUGAUAAGACUUACUUUUAUGCACAAAUCCAAAUUGGCCAGAUGUGUCAUCUGACAUUGCAAUGGGUUGUAGUUGCUAUAAGAUGCAUGAAGAAUGCCUAGGUAAGGUUAUUGUAAAAUUUUACCAUUGUAGUCGGAAGGAUGUGCAUGUUGGAAAAUUUUUAUAGAGACUGACAUUUGUACCGAUCCUGGUGCUGAAAGGAUGUCUUCUUCGUCUGGAGUUUCAAACUUUCUAACCAACUGUUAACGUGUGCGAGGCAAUCCAGUUCUGCUUGUGUGUUGAUUCAUGGGUUUGCUGCUUCGAACUUUUUCCAAUUAAAUCUUCCAUUGUCCCAUGGAGACUCCAUUCUGUGCUUCUAUUUCUUUGCUGUCUAUAUAGACGUUAUCCUAUAGCUUAAAUGCCUAUGCUUGGUCUUAGGAGCUUGCGUUGGUCAUAUUUUAUUGAUUUUAUGAACAUGAGAAAUGAUAUGAUUUCUUGUGGAUACAAUUUUGCACUUAUAAUUUUUGUGAGACUUGACUAUUA